rnacentral:rRNA from 1 species
GCGUUGUCCGGAUUUAUUGGGCGUAAAGAGCGUGUAGGCGGCUUGACAGGUCUGCUGUUAAAACUCGAGGCUCAACCUCGAGAGGUCGGUGGAAACCGUCUGGCUAGAGUCCGGAAGAGGAGAGUGGAAUUCCUGGUGUAGCGGUGAAAUGCGCAGAUAUCAGGAAGAACACCCGUGGCGAAGGCGGCUCUCUGGGACGGUACUGACGCUGAGACGCGAAAGCGUG